GUGAGGAAUAUUGGACAAUGGGCGCAAGCCUGAUCCAGCCAUGCCGCGUGCAGGAAGACGCAUCUAUGGUGUGUAAACUGCUUUUGUACGGGAAGAAACACUCCCUCGUGAGGGAGCUUGACGGUACCGUAAGAAUAAGGAUCGGCUAACUCCGUGCGAGCAGCCGCGGUAAUACGGAGGAUCCAAGCGUUAUCCGGAAUCAUUGGGUUUAAAGGGUCCGUAGGCGGUUUAAUAAGUCAGUGGUGAAAGCCCAUCGCUCAACGAUGGAACGGCCAUUGAUACUGUUAGACUUGAAUUACAAGGAAGUAACUAGAAUAUGUAGUGUAGCGGUGAAAUGCUUAGAUAUUACAUGGAAUACCAAUUGCGAAGGCAGGUUACUACUUGUGGAUUGACGCUGAUGGACGAAAGCGUGGGGAGCGAACAGGAUUAGAUACCCUGGUAGUCC
rnacentral:rRNA from 1 species